AGGGCAAUCAUUGGCAAGGAGAUGCAAAUUUAUUUAGUCAAAGAAGAAAUUAUUCUUUCAUACACGACACAAGUUACUUAUAUUAUGGGAAUGAUGUCCAAACAGAUGUGGCAUUAUUUGAAAUGUUCAAAAAUCAAGAAACUGGGCUACUUUCAAUUGGACAGUUUCUGACGGCAGUACGAGCAACGGGUCUCAGAAAAAAUGACCCUAGACUUCAGAAUAUGAUGGAAAACUUGAAACAAAUAUCAAAAAGUUCGGAUGGAAAUACUGUAGAUACCCAAAAACUAACUCUAGAACAAUU